rnacentral:lncRNA from 1 species
GCUAUUUGCAGACCAUCUGCUUCUUCUGGCAGGCUGAGCACAUUGUCCAUCACCCACAAGUGGCUGGUUCUCAUCGCAGAAUCUACGUAGGGAAUCGGGCGUGAAAUUCACUUAAGAGAUAGAGCAGAGGAAGUGUUCUGUUUACAGGAAUGGAGAUGAGAGUUAUGAGUAAGUUGCUUAGUCAGUUGGCUUUGUUUUGAAAAUUAUUGUGUUAUAUUUGUGUUAACCUACUUGUGUUUUGACAGUAUAUGUCACAUAGGAAGAAACCUCAGACUAGCAUAAUAACAAAGCUCAGACUAGGCACAGAUGUACACAGAAUGGACCAAAAUGGGAUGGGGGAAGGUAUGGGAAUAAGUCUAGGGGUAGGGAAAAAUUGAUGUGAGGGUGGGAAAUAAACUGUAAUUACCUGAAAUAAAAUGUAAGAGUGCAAUAAGUGUGCUUUUUAUUCUAAGCUGUGAAUGGGUUUUUUAAAAAAAGCAUUCCUUCCCAAUGCAUUUGCCUAUGUUCCAUAGCUGAUUAAAACCAGCUAUAUAAACAUAUGCCUUUUUAUUCAUGUUAAUUACCAAUAUAAAUGGCUAACCUUUACGUCUUAUUUAUCUUCAUGUUAUGUUAGUUUACAUACAGGGAUGUGUGUGUGUGUGUAUGCUAUAAAUUUUCCCUCCUUCGUUUAAAAACGCGUUUGUUGGAUCCUCUCUGUUUCCUUAGGCCAUGCCACAGCUCAUAGUCUCAGCUUGGCCUUCCUGUCACCUGAUCUGAAGGACUAUCACAGUGACGUAGCUCGUUCAUUGGUUGUACACACUCUAACCCUUUUCCUUGCUCAGCAAUUACUGUGUCUUCUAAAACAGGAGUGUACAACCAUGAGAUUGCAAUUAAUUGUUUGACAUAUGUCCCUUUGAAUUCUAUUUAUUAGUUAUGAUUGAUUGCUCUUUGGUUUGGACCAAGAAAAACGAAAUCCCACCUCCCCACCUUUUCACUUAUUUCUUACUUUGAGGACAAUUCUGUAAGAGAGAGGAAAGGGAACUCCUUCAUGUUUUAACUGCAGCAAGUUAAUGGCCCUGGUUUACACCAAACAUUAUGGUGAUUCACAUUCACAUUCCUCUCCUCUCUUGCUGCCAGAGGUUUGGGUUUUGUUCAGUUCUGCUCAAGCACUGAAAAAGUUUUCAUGGAGUCUGGAGAGUGCCCAGUGAAAAGAUGGUUUUUAAUUGUCCACAGACCUUUCUGUUCCUGCUUUGCAAAAAUUACAAAGGAGUAACUAUUUUUAAAGCUUAUUUUUCAAUUCAUAAAAAAGACAUUUAUUUUCAGUCAGAUGAUGUCUCCUUGUCCCUUAAUCCUCAAUGUUUGCUUGAAUCUUUUUUUUUUUUCUGAUUUUCUCCCAUCCCCACUUCUUGAUACUUCUUGAGUUCUCUUUCCUGCUCAGGUCCUUUCAUUUGUACUUUGGAGUUUUUUCUCAUGUAAAUUUGUACAAUGGAAAAUAUUGUUCAGUUUGGAUAGAACGCAUGGAGAAUUAAAUAAAAAAGAUAGCUGAAAUUCAGAUUGAAAUUUAUUUGUGUAAAGUUAUUUAAAAACUCUGUACUAUAUAAAAGGCAAAAAAAGUUCUAUGUACUUGAUGUGAAUAUGCGAAUACUGCUAUAAUAAAGAUUGACUGCAUGGAGAAGGCUUUAUCAGGACAGUUAUUUUCCUAGCACUGUCACAUUCAGUAACGGAAGGAGGGUUCUGACAGUUCUUUCAGGCAGUGGAGGGACUUGAGAAGUGUACACUGUUUCAUAUAUAGUGAAAUUUUACAUAGAUUUCAAUUACUGCUUGGUGGGCAAAAGGUAUUUAUAUGAGAAAUACAUUUAAAGUAAGUUGUCAAGAUAGAUACUUGGUACAUCGCACCAGUUACCCUCUUGUAGAAGUGACAGUUUUUGUCUGAUGUUGAUCCUCAAGCGCUGUGUGAUGGUGUGAUGUGACUGUCCCCCUUCCAGGGGCUCAGGCGAAGGGUGUGCUGUAAUUGAGUCGUAUAAGUAGUAGUCUGGAGAAGUUCCAUCUUCUGAACUGUGAAUGGUAUCUUUCAGACUUUUUUUUGACACAACUUCCAAAGAUAUAUUUUCUAUAGGAACACAGACUGUAGGCAGAAAUAUAUGUAUUUGAAACUAUGCAUUCAUGUUUUAAACUUCCCAUUUUAAUGCUGGCUACCUUGACUUAAUACAUUUGAUCUCAUGAAGUUUGAAAGACAUCUAGAAUAUCAUCAACGCUACGUGAUAUUACCAGGCAAAAUUUCCAGGAGAGAAAUAAUUCUGAAACUUUACUGGGAAACCCUGUGUCUGAGAACAAUAUAAACAGAAGUCUUCAAGAUGGCACAUGUUUGAGGAAUCUGGUUUCUGAUCUUUGUGCCCCUCCAAUGAAUAAUAAAAUGCUGAGACAAGUAUUUUCUCUGAACUGCAGUUCUCUCAUCUGAAAAAUGUAAUUCUGUAAUACCACAUAACAGAAACUCUUAAAUAACCUUCAUACAUGAUGGAGUGUAAUUGUGGAUUCACUUCUUAAUGCAUUGUUAUAGUUUUCCUUAAAAUCUAGUCCAGAAUUAUGAAUCCUUUAAUUAUUGUGAUUAAAUUUUAUUAUUAUAAAGAAACAUACCAUACU